GAAUAUUGGACAAUGGGCGAAAGCCUGAUCCAGCCAUGCCGCGUGUGUGAAGAAGGUCUUCGGAUUGUAAAGCACUUUAAGUUGGGAGGAAGGGCAGUAAGCGAAUACCUUGCUGUUUUUACGUUACCGACAGAAUAAGCACCGGCGACACCUGUUCCAGUAGCCGCGGUAAGACAGAGGGUGCAAGCGUUAAUCGGAAUUACUGGGCGUAAAGCGCGCGUAGGUGGUUCGUUAAGUUGGAUGUGAAAUCCCCGGGCUCAACCUGGGAACUGCAUCCAAAACUGGCGAGCUAGAGUAGGGCAGAGGGUGGUGGAAUUUCCUGUGUAGCGGUGAAAUGCGUAGGUAUAGGAAGGAACACCAGUGGCGAAGGCGACCACCAGGGCUCAUACUGACACUGAGGUGCGAAAGCGUGGGGAGCAAACAG
rnacentral:rRNA from 1 species